AUUUUAUAGAUGAUUUUCAGGUACCUAAAGAUAAACCCAACAAAUCAGACAACUUUUGUUUACAAAACUUUCAAAUUAACCACCAAAUGCUCUUGCCUGAAAGACCACAUAUCGACCCACAACAGAAAAGACAGACAAAAGGGUCUUCAAAUUAAAAUUGUGAAACUUACUCGACCAGUUUCUAUGCAACCAAACAGAACCCAGAAGAGUUCUCCACCCUCAAAAGAGAAAUAAACCAAGCAAAAAAAGAGAAAAGAAUCUGAAUCCUCCUAUAAUGCAUAUACAAUCAUCAUCAUCAGGAGAAGAAGAAGAA
rnacentral:misc_RNA from 1 species